GGUUGGAUCAUUAAUAAAUAAGUAAAUAAACCCAUUCCGAUGGCGGGACCGCCUUUUGAAGUUUGUGUGCGAGUUUCUCAAUCACUGUGGCUUUGGGCGGUUCGCAACAUUGGUCACCUUUUGUGAACCGUAAUUUAUUUUACCCACGUUUUUGAAUUUUAUCGUCUAAAGUUAAAAAAAAAAAAAAGUUUUAUUUUUUUGUGAAAUAUCAGAAACAACUUUUGGCAACGGAUCUCUUGGCUCUCGCAACGAUGAAGAACGCAGCGAAAUGCGAUAAGUAGUGUGAAUUGCAGAAUUCAGUGAAUCAUCGAAUCUUUGAACGCAUAUUGCGCUUCCUGGUAUUCCGGGGAGCAUGCCCGUUUCAGCAUCAUUAAAAAUCUCAAGCAUCUCUUUUGCUGUAAAAGGCAAUCGGGCUGACUGGUUUUGGGUGUUUCCUUUUUUGGUCCCGAAUCGUUUGUGUUUCGGAAACGAAAAUCACCUUUGAAUGAAUCGUGUUCGCAGCGAUGAUCAACUCUUCGUCUGUGUUAGCCCAAAGUGCGACAGAAUUUUCUGACAUUCGCUUUGGUAACAGGCAUCGAGGACGUCAUUUGUUUACGAUCCCAGCCUUAUUACACCGAUCGGUUGAGCGGUUAUGCUCUCUUCGAUUGAGUAACUUGGUCUGAAAUCGGGCAAGAAAACCCGCUGAACUUAAGCAUAUCAAUAAGCGGAGGAAAAGAAACUAACCAGGAUUCCCCUAGUAACGGCGAGUGAAGCGGGAACAGCUCAAAUUUGAAAUCUCGCGGGGCAACCUGUGCGAAUUGUAGUUUUGAGAAACGUUUUCGGGGGCGACUUGGGUAUAAGUCCUCUGGAAAGGGGCAUCAUAGAGGGUGAGAAUCCCGUUUAUGAUCCAAUGUUCGUUCCCAUGUGAUACGUUUUCCAAGAGUCAGGCAGUUUGGGAUUGCUGUCUAAAAUGGGUGGUAAAUACCAUCUAAAGCUAAAUAUUGGCGAGAGACCGAUAGCGAACAAGUACCGUGAGGGAAAGAUGAAAAGAACUUUGAAAAGAGAGUUAAACAGUACGUGAAAUUGCCAAAAGGGAAACGCUUGGAACCAGUAUUGUCUGCGCGUAAUCAACCGUGGGUCCCGAAAGGGGUGCGCACGGUGCACUUGCUUGCAGACGGGUCAACAUCGGUUUGGCUCGAGGUAAAAAGCCGGAGGAAGGUAGCUUGGGAUUCGUUCCGAGUGUUAUAGCCUCCGGUCAUGCCUUGGGUCGGACCGAGGAUCGCAGCGUUUUUUGGAUACCCGGUCGCCGUUCGAACCUGCCUUGAAGACAGCUUGCUGACUUUGAGGUGGUCUAGGAAGCCCGGUCGGUUUGUCACACUAGCGCUUUGGAUGUUGACGAAAUGGUUCCAAACGACCCGUCUUGAAACACGGACCAAGGAGUCUAACAUAUAUGCGAGUAUUUGGGUGGCAAACCCUUAUGCGCAAUGAAAGUAAACAUAGGUGGGAUCUUCGGUGCACCAUCGACCGGUCUGGAUUAUUUUGAUAGAUCUGAGUAAGAGCAUAUAUGUUGGGACCCGAAAGAUGGUGAACUAUGCCUGAAUAGGGUGAAGCCAGAGGAAACUCUGGUGGAGGCUCGUAGCGAUUCUGACGUGCAAAUCGAUCGUCAAAUUUGGGUAUAGGGGCGAAAGACUAAUCGAACCAUCUAGUAGCUGGUUCCCUC
rnacentral:misc_RNA from 1 species